rnacentral:rRNA from 1 species
UACCAGCACCCCGAGUGGUCGGGACGUUUAUUGGGCCUAAAGCAUCCGUAGCCGGUUUUACAAGUCCUCCGUUAAAUCCAACUGCUUAACAGAUGGGCUGCGGAGGAUACUAUAAGACUAGGAGGCAGGAGAGGCAAGCGGUACUCAGUGGGUAGGGGUAAAAUCCGUUGAUCCAUUGAAGACCACCAGUGGCGAAGGCGGCUUGCCAGAAUGCGCUCGACGGUGAGGGAUGAAAGCUGGGGGAGCAAACCGG